AAGUCGUAACAAGGUAUCCGUAGGUGAACCUGCGGAUGGAUCAUUAUAGGGUGUUGGGUAAUUGUGAGUGGUUUUAUUAGUAGUUUGAGCGGUGUUGGUUGGGAUGCGAAGCAGGAUUGCCAAGCAAGACAGCCAACAUUGCCUCACGUUAAACUCUAUAAAUCUAACAAUUACAUACAAAAAAAAACAACUUUUAGCAACGGAUCUCUUGGCUCUC
rnacentral:misc_RNA from 1 species